AGCAUGUGGUUAAUCGAAGCACGCGAAGAACCUUACCAGGCCUUGACAUGCUAGGAACCCGGGUGAAAGCCUGGGUGCCCCGCGAGGGAGCCCUAGCACAGGUGCUGCAUGGCCGUCGUCAGCUCGUGCCGUGAGGUGUUCGGGGUUAAGUCCCGCAACGAGCGCAACCCGUACUGCCUGUUACCAGCGCGUAAUGGCGGGGACUCUGGCAGGACUGCCCGUGUUAAGCGGGAGGAAGGUGCGGAUGACGUCAAGUCAGUAUGGCCCUUACAUCCAGGGCUGCACACGUGCUACAAUGGGUGGUACAGUGGGACGCAAGACCGCGAGGUGGAGCUAAUCCCCAAAACCACCCCCAGUUCAGAUCGGAGUCUGCAACUCGACUCCGUGAAGCCGGAAUCGCUAGUAAAGGCGUAUCAGCUACGACGCCUUGAAUACGUUCCCGGGCCUU
rnacentral:rRNA from 1 species